GGAAGGAUGGCAGAGCGGACGAUUGCGGCGCUCUCGAAAAGCGUUGGGCCGAAAGGUCCCGCAGGUUCGAAUCCUGCUCCUUCCGCCG
rnacentral:tRNA from 1 species